rnacentral:rRNA from 1 species
CAGCCGCAGUACUCUGUGCUAAGGUAGCAUAAUCAUUUGUCUUUUAAUUAAAGACUAGAAUGAAAGGUUAAACGCAUAAAAAAUUUAACCACUUAAACAAACCAAAUUAUAUUUAAUGUAAAAAUACAAAAAUACUACAAAAAGACGACAAGACCCUAUCGAACUUUACUAUAGUUUAACUGGGGCAGUAUUAUUACCAUAAUUAUAUCCUAAAACCACCUAAACCACCCUUUAAAGAAUAAAAAAAGUUACCGUAGGGAUAACAGCGCAAUAUGUUUUAAAAGACCUUAUACAAAAACAAGAUUACGACCUCGAUGUUGAAUUAAUUUAUCAAGUAAAUGCAAAUAUUUACCAGAAAGUCUGUUCGACCUUUAAAAAAUUACAUGAUCUG